rnacentral:rRNA from 1 species
UGUAGCGGUGAAAUGCGUAGAGAUCUGGAGGAAUACCGGUGGCGAAGGCGGCCCCCUGGACGAAGACUGACGCUCAGGUGCGAAAGCGUGGGGAGCAAACAGGAUUAGAUACCCUGGUAGUCCACGCCGUAAACGAUGUCGACUUGGAGGUUGUGCCCUUGAGGCGUGGCUUCCGGAGCUAACGCGUUAAGUCGACCGCCUGGGGAGUACGGCCGCAAGGUUAAAACUCAAAUGAAUUGACGGGGGCCCGCACAA